AGCAGCCGCGGUAAUUCCAGCUCCAAUAGCGUAUAUUAAAGUUGUUGCAGUUAAAGAGCUCGUAGUUGAAUUUCGGGAUCAAAUUGUCGGUCGUGCCUCGGUACGAACUGGUAUUAUUGGUUCCUACCUUCUGAAGAACCGCGAUGUCAUUAAUUUGGUGUCGUGGGGAAUCAGGACUGUUACUUUGAAAAAUUAGAGUGUUUAAAGCAGGCUUACGCUUGAAUACAUUAGCAUGGAAUAAUGAAAUAGGACGUUUGAUUCUAUUUUGUUGGUUUCUAGGAUUGACGUAAUGAUUAANAGGGAUAGUUGGGGG
rnacentral:misc_RNA from 1 species